UACGAAGGGUGCAAGCGUUACUCGGAAUUACUGGGCGUAAAGCGUGCGUAGGUGGUGAUUUAAGUCAGAUGUGAAAGCCCUGGGCUCAACCUGGGAACUGCAUUUGAUACUGGGUCACUAGAGUGCGGUAGAGGAUAGCGGAAUUCCUGGUGUAGCAGUGAAAUGCGUAGAGAUCAGGAGGAACAUCCUUGGCGAAGGCGGCUAUCUGGGCCAGCACUGACACUGAGGCACGAAAGCGUGGGGAGCAAACAGG
rnacentral:rRNA from 1 species